rnacentral:rRNA from 1 species
AUGAGAGCUCCUCCUCGGCUACUGUCGCCUCCUCCCUCCGCCACGGCUCCUCACCUCCUCCUCUACGCCUCCUCCGCGGUCUGCCGCCUCCCUCCCUCCGCGGCCGCCGUCGCCCGCUCCGUCUCCGUCUCCACCACCGUCGUCGACGCCCCGGCCGCCGCCGCCGAGCCGGGCUCCUCCGCCACGCCGCGACGCCGCCUCAUCCUCCUCCGCCACGGGGACAGCGCGGUUGGGGAGCGCUUCACCAGAGAUCAUGACAGGCCACUGAGCAAAGCUGGAAGAGCUGAUGCAAUAAGCGUUUCUGAUAAAUUCCAUCAGAUGGGAUGGAUACCUGAGCUUAUCCUAUGCAGUGAUGCAACUCGUACAAAGGAAACUCUUCAGAUCAUGCAAGAGCAUGUUCAAGGAUUGUCUCAAGCACUUGUGCAUUUCAUCCCAAGUUUCUACUCGAUUGCUGCAAUGGAUGGUCAAACUGCCGAGCACUUGCAAAAGGCAAUUUGUGAAUAUUCAACUGAUGAGAUACUAACGGUGAUGUGCAUGGGACAUAAUAAAGGAUGGGAAGAAGCAGCCUCUAUGUUUUCUGGUGAUUCAGUGGUGCUCAAGACGUGUAAUGCUGCAUUGCUAGAAGCUGCUGGGAAAUCAUGGGUUGAGGCUUUUUCGCAGGCUGGCCUUGGGGGGUGGAAGCUUCAUGGCAUUGUAAAGCCAUAA